rnacentral:rRNA from 1 species
AUUGAACGCUGGCGGCAUGCCUUACACAUGCAAGUCGAACGGCAUCGCGGGAAAGCUUGCUUUCUUGGCGGCGAGUGGCGGACGGGUGAGUAAUACAUCGGAACGUACCGGCUGGUGGGGGAUAACCCGUCGAAAGACGGGCUAAUACCGCAUACCCUCUCCGGAGGAAAGCAGGGGACCUUUGGGCCUUUCGCUAUCCGAGCUGCCGAUGUCCGAUUAGCUAGUUGGUGGGGUAAAGGCCUACCAAGGCGACGAUCGGUAGCGGGUCUGAGAGGACGAUCCGCCACACUGGGACUGAGACACGGCCCAGACUCCUACGGGAGGCAGCAGUGGGGAAUCUUGGACAAUGGGGGCAAGCCUGAUCCAGCAAUGCCGCGUGGAUGAAGAAGGCCUUCGGGUUGUAAAGCCCUUUCGGCAGGGAAGAAAUCGGCGGGGCGAAUAACCCUGCUGGAUGACGGUACCUGCAGAAGAAGCACCGGCUAACUCCGUG